UCUACGGGUGGCAGCAGUGAGGAAUAUUGGUCAAUGGCCGUAAGGCUGAACCAGCCAAGUCGCGUGAAGGAAGAAGGAUCUAUGGUUUGUAAACUUCUUUUAUAGGGGAAUAAAGGUAUCCACGUGUGGAUAUUUGCAUGUACCCUAUGAAUAAGCAUCGGCUAACUCCGUGCCAGCGGCCGCGGUAAUAAGGGGGAUGCGAGCGUUAUCCGGAUUUAUUGGGUUUAAAGGGUGCGUAGGUGGUUUUUUAAGUCAGCGGUGAAAGUUUGUGGCUCAACCGUAAAUUGCAAUUGAUACUGGCAGCCUUGAGUACAGUUGAGGUAGGCGGAAUUCGUGGUGUAGCGGUGAAAUGCUUAGAUAUCACGAAGAACUCCGAUUGCGAAGGCAGCCUACUAAACUGCCACUGACAUUGAUGCUCGAAAGUGUGGGUAUCAAACAGGAUUAGAUACCCCUGUAGUC
rnacentral:rRNA from 1 species